CUUGAAAUGAAGGUUGAUUCAAGAAUGAAAUGGGAAUCACAAACCGCUUCAUUUUGUCUCCGACAUAAACCGCAAGAUAGCCUUUUGGGACUUCAUCCACAACCUUUGAAGAUGACUUUCUAAUACCAGGAAUGGCUAUAAAAAGGCAGGAUUUUGAAGCCUUCGCUCAGCGAAGCCACAGCGAGCUGCAGCGAACGAAACCAAUGGGUUAAGGGUCCAUGGCGAAGAUCAGCGAGCCUCAGCGAGCAGAACAACAAAUGAACAUUCGCUCAGCGAAGGUUAGCGAGAGAUAGCGAACAAAGGCAGAGAGUUAUGGUCUGAUGGCGAGAGAUAGCGAGCUUCAACGAAUAAAUGAUGAGUCAGGAUUUUUGCUACGUGUCAAGAAAUCUCUUGCCUAAGUAACCUGUUCGCUUAGCGAACAUCAUUUCGCUCAGCGAACUGCUAUGUUUUGAAAAUCUAUAAAUAGCAGUCAGAAGCCACUUUCUGAUAUCAUCUCAUUUUGUAAUAGUUCAUAUACGUGAAAAACACUAGUUUAAGAGUUCUAGAGGAGUUUUGUAAGGUGGAUUCAUCAAUACACUUGAGAAAUCAAGAGAUGUUCUUCAUCCCUUUUACUCCUUGUUCUUCAGAAGCUGAUUUGACAAAUUCAGGAACUUGCUUUCUUACGGGGACUUGUCCAGUAAACACAUAUGGGUGUUCCCUUCAAUGUAAAGAUAAGGGCUUUCGUUUUGGUGGUCAUUGUCAACAAGGGGCUUGUUGUUGUACACCAAAUAUUUGAGAGAUUUAUGUUUG